UGACACUGUUUGCACUGUUUCCCCAUCUAUUUCCCAUGUAGUGGUGGGACCAGAUGCCAUGAUCUUCGUUUUCUGAAUGUUGAGCUUUAAGCCAACUUUUCCACUCUCCACUUUCACUUUCAUCAAGAGGCUUUUGAGUUCCUCUUCACUUUCUGCCAUAAGGGUGGUGUCAUCUGCAUAUCUGACAUUAUUGAUAUUUCUCCUGGCAAUCUUGAUUCCAGCCUGUAUUUCUUCCAGUCCAGCAUUUCUCAUGAUGUACUCUGCAUGUAAGUUAAAUAAACAGGGUGACAAUAUAUAGCCUUGACGAAAUCCUUUUCCUAUUUGGAACCAGUCUGCUGUAAUUUUGUUGUACAAUGGAGCCAGAAAAUGAGGCAGGAACUGGAAGGUGAUGUCAGAUCAAGAGAGGGUAGUUUUUUUUUUUUUUUUUAGGGUAGGGGAUACAACAGGAUAAUUAACCCAAUAGACAAAGAAAAAUUGAUGGUGGGAACAAAGAGAGAAUUUCCAAAGCACUGUCUUUGGGAUCUGGUGGACAAAGACAGGGAAUGGACUUAGAGAGGGGCAUGAGCAGUCAUUGAUAGUGAGAGGAUAGGAGACGGAAUUGAUAGGUAUGGAUGCUGGCAAGUGGACUGAUGCUUUGUAGGAGCUUGUGGAAGUCUAUUUAGUUGGAUAAACAAUCCUGGAGUUCAGGAAAGAAGUUGAGCUAAAGAUAGGGGCAGUAGUUAUCAGUUCAUAGAGGGAAGUUAAAGGUAUGAAGUAGAAAAGGAUCUGCUGUAGGGGCUAAAUGAUAGAAUAAGGAAUGGAAACUAAUUAACACUGUGGCUAUUGACCAUGAGUGCAUUCGAGUUCAGAGAAGUGAGCAACAACAAAGGCAAGAAGUGAGAAAUUUGAGUUGGAAGGGCAGGGGUUAGUGAGGAAUCAAUCCAGGAUCAGAGUGGUAGUAUAUGUAUUAAAAUAUAAAAAGAAGAGUGGUCUUGGCUAAGACUAGGAAAGAUAAAAUGGAUCAGAGUGGGAGAAGGCUCUGACUGUCUGCCUUGAUUUGAUAUACACAUGGGGAAGCAUUUUACUUAAUGAAAACAAGGGUUAAGGAAAGUUUAUGGUUUGCAGGAUUGAUGGAAGUUUAGGUUACUAGGAGUUAAAUCAGAAGGGCUGAUGGUGAGCCUGGUAGAAACGGUUGGCCACAGAAUCAGGAUUUUGACAAUAAAAAUGGAGAGCAAGUUUUGUAAUGGAUAUCGGAACUAAAGACCUGGGGAGAGCCAAUGAACUCUCAGAGACAUUAUUCCAGGGGUCCUUC
ensembl:lncRNA